rnacentral:lncRNA from 1 species
GCAGGUUGCAACUUGUGUGCGACUUUUAGGUCGUAAUUCUAACUCCAAGAGGCUCUUGGGUUAUGUGGCAACUCUGAAGGAUAAUUUUGGAUUUAUUGAAACAGCCAAUCAUGAUAAGGAAAUCUUUUUCCAUUACAGUGAGUUCUCUGGUGAUGUUGAUAGCCUGGAACUGGGGGACAUGGUCGAGUAUAGCUUGUCCAAAGGCAAAGGCAACAAAGUCAGUGCAGAAAAAGUGAACAAAACACACUCAGAGACCAGGAAAGGCUUCUUAAAAAAUGACAUAUGGUCACCUGGAAAAAGUAAGAGAUCAAGGCAUGUUUUAUUUAUGAAUACUUAUUAAUUCCUUAAACAAUUUUAUUUAAACAAUUCUAUUUAGGAAAAGCAGGCAUUUUGGUAGUUUAGAAGUAUUUAAAGUCCAGCAGCUGUUCUAAAAAUAGAACUUGGCUUCAGGUUCCCUACCCCAUUUCAAUAGCAGCCAGCCAACCUACCCUGUUAACAUUUGUGCUGUUAUUUUUUGCUUACUUGUCUUUCUAUGUAGUAGAGAUGAAAUAAAAUUGAAAGAUGUACCUGCCUUUGUUUUGUAGUGAAUGGCAUUACUGAGGAAGCUGAUCCCACCAUUUACUCUGGCAAAGUAAUUCGCCCCCUGAGGAGUGUUGAUCCAACACAGACUGAGUACCAAGGAAUGAUUGAGAUUGUGGAGGAGGGCGAUAUGAAAGGUGAGGUCUAUCCAUUUGGCAUCGUUGGGAUGGCCAACAAAGGGGAUUGCCUGCAGAAAGGGGAGAGCGUCAAGUUCCAAUUGUGUGUCCUGGGCCAAAAUGCACAAACUAUGGCUUACAACAUCACA